rnacentral:rRNA from 1 species
GUAGGGGAGCAAGCGUUGUUCGGAAUCAUUGGGCGUAAAGAGCGCGUAGGUGGUUUGGUAAGUCUGUUGUGAAAUCCCAUAGCUCAACUGUGGAACUGCGACGGAAACUGCCAGACUUGAGUGCGGGAGAGGAAAGUGGAAUUCCCAGUGUAGAGGUGAAAUUCGUAGAUACUGGGAGGAACACCGGUGGCGAAGGCGGCUUUCUGGACCGCAACUGACGCUGAGGCGCGAAAGCUAGGGGAGCAAACGGGAUUAGAUACCCCGGUAGUCCUAGCCGUAAACGAUGGGCACUAGGUGUGGGGGGUAUCGACCCCUUCUGUGCCGUAGCUAACGCAUUAAGUGCCCCGCCUGGGGAGUACGGUCGCAAAGACUAA